UGUGCUAUUUAAAAAUGCUGGCUUUCUGGGCCGUCCUGCCAGGGCAAACUCUGACUGAGGCAGGAGGGCCGACUACCGAGAGAGGACUUGAGUGUUGUCUGUUGUAGCUCACUUGCUGGCAGGGACCUCGAAAUGCCAUAGAGUUGUGGCAGUAAACAAGACUACAACCAGUACCUCAGCCAUGAGGCUGGAAAGCUAAGGAAUGGACUGGAUCUAGCUGGCAAAGCCACGGCUUUAAUCCUACUCAUAUUGCUCAGUAAUUUAAAGGCUCGUGUGGUCAGAAAAAGAGAGAUAUACAGUAAAGAGAUUCAAAGAUAAAGAAAAUGUUUAAAUGAUUUACAGUGUGUUAAAAAUAUAUGCAAGCUAAAAGUUAAAAGUUUUUAAAAAAAAAGUAAGAAAAAGAGAAGUUGUGUGUGGUAGUACACGCCUUUAAUCCCAACACUUGGGAGGCAGAGGGAGAUUGACCUCUGUGACUUCAAGGUGUGGUAGCAAACACCUUUAAUCCCAAUGCCUGGGAGGCAGAGACAGGCGGAUCUCUGAGAGUUCAAGGAGAGCCUGGUCUACAGAGUUAUUCCAGGUCAAAGAGAUACAGAGAAUAUAAAAUAAAAGUAAAAAUAAACGAAAUAGAGGUUAAAAUAAAGCGUACAAAGAUGGAAAAUACACAGAGAAUCUUGAUACUGUAUACUAUUAUGCUCUCUUUGAAUUGUUUGAAUGCUGAGGAAGGAGCAACAGAUGCUAAAAGAUAUUUGUUUAUAAAUGCUGCUGAACUAAUCCAUCGUAGAGAUUUUGAUGCCUUGACUUUGAAAUUUGGAUCUAAGGACAUGAUACUUUGGAAAGGAGUUUCUUAUUUUGUUUUCACAGAGGAUGAGACCCUGUUCAUUUCUUCUAUUCCGAUAUGGUAUGAUGGACCACGCCCUCCUGAACGGUUGCUGUGAAUACCUUCAGAAAAUUGCUUCGCUCAACUGCCAACUGAGAUGAAACUAGCACACAGGUUAUACCAUGAAAGACCUAAUUAACGACGCCCCCAUUCAGCAGGAAGCAGUUUGGAGAGAAAAAACUGCGCCCAUGUUCCCAAAUAUGGUUUAUAAAUGUUCUUUUACAUUUAAAGGGGGAGAUGAUAUAGGUAUGAAUAAUUUACAUUGAUAUGGAUUUUGCUUUAGUGAUUUAAAUUUAAGGUUAAUUUUGUAAUGUAUAUAGGUUGUUAAUGAAUAAUCAUUAAUAAUAGUUAAGUUUGUAGUCAUGUUAGUUAAGAUUUUCUAGAUGUGCAUAGAUAUAUUUUAGAUAGGCAUUCUUCAUAUUUUUCAAAGAUUAUAGAAUAUGGCAUUUUAAAUGUUUUAAUAACUUAGGACUUUUCAUGACAAUGAGACACUCUGCUCCUGGCAGCACCAAUCUACUUCAAGAGGAAGAUGGGCAUCGAAGAGGAUCCUUAUGGAGUUUGAUAGCCAUUUGGGCAAGAAACUGCUCUUGCCUGGACUAUUGCAUAAACUGGACACAAAGAACCCACACAGAGAGGACUACUGAACUUGCCUAAAGGUGAGAUGACCUUUUGGGGUUCCUGAUUCAUGAAAGAGUCUGCAAGACAUUCUUCAGGACAAGCAGAUAGUGACUGCCUUUGAAAUUUCCUGCUUUGUGGAAAUGUCUGCUGGAAACUAUGGGCCUGUAGGCUGAAGAUGGAUGCCCCAAUGUUCCUCUGUACCGUUGGGGCAUCCAUCUUCAGCCUACAGGCCCAUAGUUUCCAGCAGACAUUUCCACAAAGCAGGAAAUUUCAAAGGCAGUCACUAUCUGCUUGUCCUGAAGAAUGUCUUGCAGACUCUUUCAUGAAUCAGGAACCCCAAAAGGUCAUCUCACCUUUAGGCAAGUUCAGCAGUCCUCUCUCUGCGGGUUCUCUGUGUCCAGUUUAUGCAAUAGUCCAGGCAAGAGCAGUCUCUUGCACAAAUGGCUAUCAAACUCCAUAAGGAUCCUCUUCGAUGCCCAUCUUCCUCUUGAAGUAGAUUGGUGAUGCCAGGAGCAGA